rnacentral:rRNA from 1 species
GACGAACGCUGGCGGCGUGCCUAAUACAUGCAAGUAGAACGCUAAAGCUUGGUGCUUGCACCGAGCGGAUGAGUUGCGAACGGGUGAGUAACGCGUAGGUAACCUGCCUGGUAGCGGGGGAUAACUAUUGGAAACGAUAGCUAAUACCGCAUAAGAGUAGAUGUUGCAUGACAUUUGCUUAAAAGGUGCAAUUGCAUCACUACCAGAUGGACCUGCGUUGUAUUAGCUAGUUGGUGAGGUAACGGCUCACCAAGGCAACGAUACAUAGCCGAGCUGAGAGGGUGAUCGGCCACACUGGGACUGGGACACGGGCCAGACUCCUACGGGAGGCAGCAGUAGGGAAUCUUCGGCAAUGGACGGAGGUCUGACCGAGCAACGCCGCGUGAGUGAAGAAGGUUUUCGGAUCGGAAAGCUCUGUUGUAAGAGAAGAAAGAGUGUGAGAGUGGAAAGUUCACACUGUGACGGUAUCUUACCAGAAAGGGACGGCUAACUACGUG